AACGAACGCUGGCGGCGUGGAUAAGACAUGCAAGUCGAACGGGAUUUUAUUUGUAGCAAUACACGUAAAGUCUAGUGGCGUAAGGGUGCGUAACACGUGGGCAAUCUGCCGAGAAGUGGGGGAUAGCUCGCCGAAAGGCGAAUUAAUACCGCAUGUGGUUAGUGAAGACAUCUUCGCGAUACCAAAGCCGGGGCAACCUGGCGCUUCUUGAUGAGCCCGCGGCCUAUCAGCUAGUUGGUGAGGUAACGGCUCACCAAGGCUAUGACGGGUAGCUGGUCUGAGAGGACGACCAGCCACACUGGAACUGAGACACGGUCCAGACACUUACGGGUGGCAGCGGUCGAGAAUUUUUCUCAAUGGGGGAAACCCUGAAGGAGCGACGCCGCGUGGAGGAUGAAGGUCUUCGGAUUGUAAACUCCUGUCAUUUGGGAACAAUUGUUGGCGGUUAACUGUCGUCAGCUUGAUAGUACCAGAAGAGGAAGAGACGGCUAACUCUGUGCCAGCCGCCGCAGUAACAC
rnacentral:rRNA from 1 species